GUGGACGAAUUGGUAAGUCGCAUUGCUCUGAACGAUGAGGUUGCAGGUUCAAUUCCUGUUACCA
rnacentral:tRNA from 2 species